UCGAGGAUCUUCGGCAAUGAGCGCAAGCUUGACCGAGCGACGCCGCGUGCGCGAUGAAGGCCUUCGGGUUGUAAAGCGCUGUCGAGGGGGAGGAAAGCCCGCAAGGGUCUGACCUAUCCCUGGAGGAAGCACGGGCUAAGUUCGUGCCAGCAGCCGCGGUAAGACGAACCGUGCGAACGUUGUUCGGAUUCACUGGGCUUAAAGGGCGCGUAGGCGGCUUGCCAAGUCAGGGGUGAAAUCUUUCGGCUCAACCGGAAAAGUGCCUUUGAUACUGGCGAGCUAGAGGGAGGUAGGGGUGCGUGGAACUUCUGGUGGAGCGGUGAAAUGCGUAGAUAUCAGAAGGAACGCCGGUGGCGAAAGCGACGCACUGGAUCUCUACUGACGCUGAGGCGCGAAAGCCAGGGGAGCGAACGGGAUUAGAUACCCCCGUAGUCC
rnacentral:rRNA from 1 species